rnacentral:rRNA from 1 species
UACGGAGGAUCCAAGCGUUAUCCGGAUUCAUUGGGUUUAAAGGGUGCGUAGGCGGAAUGAUAAGUCAGUGGUGAAAGCCUACAGCUUAACUGUAGAACUGCCGUUGAUACUGUCAAUCUUGAGUGCAGUUGAUGUGGGCGGAAUAUGACAUGUAGCGGUGAAAUGCUUAGAUAUGUCAUAGAACACCGAUUGCGAAGGCAGCUCACAAAACUGUAACUGACGCUGAGGCACGAAAGCGUGGGGAUCGAACAGG